rnacentral:lncRNA from 1 species
CUAAAAGUAUUAAAAAAUCGGUGUUCCAGGAAUAUUUGAAAUUCUUCCAAACCUUUAUAGUGUGAUAAAAAAAAAUUGAAAUUAAAUCCCAAAACCAUGUCAUUAUAGAUUAGAAGUCCAAAGAAACAAGCAUUUUACAUUAGCAUAAGAACAAGCAUUAACCUUGUUUCUAUGAUUGGUUCAAUUGGAUAAAAAUGAAAACUGAAUCUGGACAUGAUAAAGUCUUUAUGAAAUAUAUAACUUCAUUUUUGACUUGGUCUUCACAAAUGUCCAAAUAUACUACACUAAAUCCUAAAACAUAAGAUAAAAUAAGAUAAAAUGGUUUUGCUACUAUAACUUGAACAAUAUGAUGCAAUUUAAUUACAUGUUUUCAAACAUGCAAUGUAAAACAUCCACUAAGAAGAUUUUAUUAUUAUUUUUGAAAAAAUGAUCUCAAUUUUCACAACAAAAAAAUGUUAUAUAGUGAGAUUUUGGAUUUUCUCCACACAUUUAUCAGAUCAUAGAUAAAUUCAAAGAAGCAAAAGGAGUAGGAAGACAACAAAGAAACCUCAAAUAUUUCUUCAAGGAUGGUAUUGUAAUUGUACUUCAUGUCUCCAUCUAAAGAUGUGAAAUGAUUAAAAUCCAUCCUCCCCAAAAACCCAAACAGAGGAAAACAGAGUGAAUAGAAAGCAUAAAAAAGAAUCAAAUAAUCUCAUGCAUAAGAUCAA